GUUAGGAGCUCAAAACUGCUAGUCUCCAGCUUCCUCUUCUGGGGACUCCCAAACUGGAUUUAGGUCUAGAUGAGGAGUCUGCCAAGCCUGUGGUUUCCUGGUUAGAGGUUCCCAAUGGAGUCAGCAGCCUUCCUGUCACCCACAGUCGACUUGGCCACAUAUCCACUGGCCCAAGAGUCUUCUCAAAAGCAUCAAGAUUUCAGAUCCAUUGAUGACACUGGCACUAAACCUCAAUGGCUGCAGAAUGAUGAAUCUCCAGCUCCAUCACUCCCUGACUUACCGCUGGGCAUUGCAUUAUGGAUGGCGGCUCCUUCCCACCCACACAGUUCUCCAUUUAGUCAUCUGUCUGAGGCUUGCCUAAUAUCAAUAAGAACGUAUGAUUUUUGUUUUACUCAAUAGGUCAUAGUCUGUCGCUGUCAUAUGCUAUUCUGAGAUGCAAAUAGUCCCCAAUCUGAUCAAUGAGAGCCCUUGCAUGCUGACUGUAUCCUUUUUAUAUGACCACAUUAUUGUUUUCGUAUUUCUGUGUUUUCUGUUAUAAAAUAUUUCAGGUUUUAUUGUGGGAGGAUGGUACCUUACCUAGCCCAGCCCUAGAAUUAGAAACUUUUCUAAAGAAUCCUGGUUCCUCUUCCUGGGGGUGGAUCUGGGUUCUAGAUGAGCUCAUUGCUGUGUGGUAGCACUGCAUCCAGUCCCUCUUAGUGGACAGAGCUGGGAUUGCAUUUUGAAGCUUUCAGUCCAACCUGAUCCCAUAGGCACCUGCCUUGUUUUGGCCUGUUUCCCCAUGUUCACCUCCCACUCACUCCCCAAGGAACACUAAUGGUUUAUUACUACAGACAAUGCCAAAGGGAAUUUAAGUUUACUUGCACUAUUUUCCUCCCUGGAUUUAAAAGCAGUGUUAAGCAUUAUAUUCAAAUUUUAAUAUUGUACAUUACUGUUAUAUGAAAGGUUAAUUCAAAGGUUAUGUUUUCUUUUUCCUGCUUCGUGGUAAAUUUUAUUAGUCAACUAAAAUGGAGUUGCGUCUCCUUCA